rnacentral:rRNA from 1 species
AGUGAACGCUGGCGGCAGGCCUAACACAUGCAAGUCGAGCGGAUGAACGGUGCUUGCUUGUGGUUUCAGCGGCGGACGGGUGGGUGAUUCCUAUGAAUCUCCCUGUCUGCUGUUUAUAACGUCCUGACGCAGGCGCUAAUACCGCAUUCGUCCUGACGGCGUAAGUGGGGGAGCUUCGGACCUCACGCUCUCAGGUGAGUCGAGGUCGGAUUAGCUAGUUGGUGGGGUAAAGGCCUACCAAGGCGACGAUCCGUCACUGGUCUGAGAGGAUGAUCAGUCACACUGGAACUGAGACACGGUCCAGACGCCUACGGGAGGCAGCAGUGGGGAAUAUUGGACAAUGGGCGCAAGCCUGAUCCAGCCAUACCGAGUGUGUGAAGAAGGCCUUCGGGUUGUAAAGCCCUUUUGGUGGGAAAGAAAAGCAGUAGGUUAAUACCUCGCUGUUCUGACGGUACCAAAAGAAUAAGCACCGGCUAACUUCGUG